rnacentral:piRNA from 1 species
UCACUCGCAGCUUUUAGAACA